rnacentral:rRNA from 1 species
UUGGNCAUUUAGAGGAAGUAAAAGUCGUAACAAGGUUUCCGUAGGUGAACCUGCGGAAGGAUCAUUACCGAGUUCAUGCCCUCACGGGUAGACCUCCCACCCUUUGUAUACCUUACCUUUUGUUGCUUUGGCGGGCCGCCUAGCUACUGGCUUCGGCUGGUAAGUGCCCGCCAGAGGACCCCAAACCCAAACCAUUUAUAGUGUCGUCUGAGAAACAAGUUUAAUAUUUAAAACUUUCAACAACGGAUCUCUUGGCUCUGGCAUCGAUGAAGAACGCAGCGAAAUGCGAUAAGUAAUGUGAAUUGCAGAAUUCAGUGAAUCAUCGAAUCUUUGAACGCACAUUGCGCCCAUUAGUAUUCUAUUGGGCAUGCCUGUUCGAGCGUCAUUUUGACCACUUAAGCCUGGCUUAGUGUUGGGAAUCUACGUUUGUAGUUCCUUAAAUCUAGUGGCGGAGCCGCAGUGGCCUCUGAGCGUAGUAAUUUUUUCUCGCUUUGGAAGGUUCUGUAGUUUUUGCCAUAAAACCCCCAAUUUUUUAAGGUUGACCUCGGAUCAGGUAGGAAUACCCGCUGAACUUAAGCAUAUCAAUAAGCGGAGGA